rnacentral:other from 15 species
AUUUAACUUCUACAUUAUAUGUAUUUAAAC